AUUGAACGCUGGCGGCAGGCCUAACACAUGCAAGUCGAGCGAGCGGCGGACGGGUGAGUAAUGUAUGGGGAUCUUCCCGUUAAAGGGGGAUAACUACUGGGAACGGUGUCUAAUAACGCAUAAUAUCGGAUGCUCCCAUAUGGGCUUAGCUAGUAGGUGGGGUAAAGGCUUACCUAGGCGACGAACGAUAGCUGGGCUGAGAGGAUGAUCAGCCACACUGGGACUGAGACACGGCCCAGACUCCUACGGGAGGCAGCAGUGGGGAAUAUUGCACAAUGGGCGAAAGCCUGAUGCAGCCAUGCCGCGUGUAUGAAGAAGGCCUUAGGGUUGUAAAGUACUGUCAGCGGGGAGGCGUUAACCGCAGAGGAAGCAACGGCUAACUCCGUGCCAGCAGCCGCGGUAAUUC
rnacentral:rRNA from 1 species